rnacentral:rRNA from 1 species
CUACGGGUGGCAGCAGUGGGGAAUUUUGGACAAUGGGGGCAACCCUGAUCCAGCCAUGCCGCGUGCGGGAAGAAGGCCUUCGGGUUGUAAACCGCUUUUGUCAGGAGAGAAAUCUCUUGGGCUAAUACCCUGAGAGGAUGACGGUACCUGAAGAAUAAGCACCGGCUAACUACGUGCCAGCAGCCGCGGUAAUACGUAGGGUGCAAGCGUUAAUCGGAGUUACUGGGCGUGGUUGUGGCGCACACGUUUGAAAUCCCCGGGCUUAACCUGGGAACUGCACUUGUGACUGCACGGCUAGAGUACGGCAGAGGGGGAUGGAAUUCCGCGUGUAGCAGUGAAAUGCGUAGAUAUGCGGAGGAACACCGAUGGCGAAGGCAGUCCCCUGGGCCUGUACUGACGCUCAUGUACGAAAGCGUGGGGAGCAAACAGGAUUAGAUACCCUUGUAGUC